GACGUAGGGCGCGAGCGUUGUCCGGAUUUAUUGGGCGUAAAGAGCUCGUAGGCGGCUUGUCGCGUCUGCUGUGAAAAUCCGAGGCUCAACCUCGGACUUGCAGUGGGUACGGGCAGACUAGAGUGUGGUAGGGGAGACUGGAAUUCCUGGUGUAGCGGUGGAAUGCGCAGAUAUCAGGAGGAACACCGAUGGCGAAGGCAGGUCUCUGGGCCACUACUGACGCUGAGAAGCGAAAGCGUGGGGAGCGAACAGG
rnacentral:rRNA from 1 species